rnacentral:misc_RNA from 1 species
GAAUUAUAGGCGUCUACUUGUAGAGCCUGACCUCCACUUCUAACACUGUGCACUUGAUGGCGAGGUAAUGGAACUUUCGAGUGAAACUACCUUGCGGCUUCAUUUUAAACAUUAGUCAAAGUAUGUAAUGAAAUAUUAAAACAAAAAAAAAACUUUCAACAACGGAUCUCUUGGCUCU